UACGAAGGGGGCUAGCGUUGCUCGGAAUCACUGGGCGUAAAGGGUGCGUAGGCGGGUCUUUAAGUCAGGGGUGAAAUCCUGGAGCUCAACUCCAGAACUGCCUUUGAUACUGAAGAUCUUGAGUUCGGGAGAGGUGAGUGGAACUGCGAGUGUAGACGUGAAAUUCGUAGAUAUUCGCAAGAACACCAGUGGCGAAGGCGGCUCACUGGCCCGAUACUGACGCUGAGGCACGAAAGCGUGGGGAGCAAACAGG
rnacentral:rRNA from 1 species